rnacentral:lncRNA from 1 species
AAUGCCAGGAAUCUCUUUAUUACCACGAUGGAGAUAAAUGAUAUGUCUAGGAGGGCUGUUCUGACAGUGGGCACGGCCGUGCAUUCUGCGCUUUCUGAAUUGGAAGAGAUCUGUUUCUGAUUGAGGCAGUACUGUAAUAGAAGUAAUAACACAUGAGCUGCUACCAACACCACCUCCAACAUCCUUUCCUAUCUACAAAUCAACUGCAGGCAAUAUUUGCCCAUCGAGAUCUAAAAUUGUAUAUGACUUCAUUUAGCACAAAUGUUGCCUGAAGUCUCAGCCACAGAUUAAUUAAAUAUCUUUGGGAAGACAGGCCUGAGAUAUCUGGCCGUAACUUUGAUCUCAUAUAAGCUCAGAAGAAUUGGCCCAAGAAAAGAUUCAGGUAAGUUAAUUUUGCAUAGUAGAUUUAUACGUGAAUUUAUCCUCUGUGCUCUGAUGAAGUUCUCAUGGGGGUUUGUUGGACUUCCAGCUCCAGGCAUUCCAGGGAUGCAUCUGGGCAAAGUCUGCACGAUUGGUGAGGGGAAUGGCCACCAACAGUGAUGGCAUUUGGUUUCAUUGUGCUUGUCCAAAGUAAUUUCAGAUGUAAUUUGUUUGUUGUAUAUGAGAUCCUCUGCUUUGCUACCACUGCUCUUGCAGCUGUGAGGCUCAGGGCAGUGCAUAGAACGAAUGAAUGUUUGCUCUGAAGGAAAACAGUGCAUUUCUGGGGAUGGAGAGCCUGCAUUCUAUUACAAGGAAAGUAUUUUCAGGUCUUACUUAUUGCUUGUGCACUGGGACACGUGUAUUAACAACAUUCUUCUUCCCUUCCUAUUUUCCAUGAUUGUUCAUCUGCUGAGAUUACUGAAGAAAUGUAACUGACCAACAGGAACGAUUGUAUGAAGUCAGAAUUAUCUCUGGGCUGAAUCUGGCCUCAGAUCCUGCACCCAGUGAGCGUGAAGAGCACACAGGGAAAACCAAAGUUAGGAGCAAUAGGACAGUGCAUGCUUCCAGAAGAAGUCUCAGCUGUGGGGCUGGCAAGGAGUAACAAACUGCCAUGCAGAGGAAGAGAAGCUCCCUGUGAUCCAGAUGGAAGCUGGGCUGCUGUGCAGGACUGCUGCAGUGUUGGACAGGUCUGCUUUGUACCAAAAAAUGCUCAAGUGUACCAGUGGAUGGGAGCUGCCUUUACAAGCUUCCCUCCACACCAGGGAAUCUGA